rnacentral:rRNA from 1 species
UACGUAGGGGGGCAAGCGUUGUCCGGAUUUAUUGGGCGUAAAGAGCGUGUAGGCGGCCAGAUAGGUCCGUUGUGAAAACUCGAGGCUCAACCUCCAGACGUCGACGGAAACCGCGUGGCUAGAGUCCGGAAGAGGAGAGUGGAAUUCCUGGUGUAGCGGUGAAAUGCGCAGAUAUCAGGAAGAACACCAAUGGCGAAGGCAGCUCUCUGGGACGGUACUGACGCUGAGACGCGAAAGCGUGGGGAGCGAACAGG